GUGUAUGUGUCAUUCUACCGGAUAGCACGAAGGGUUUUGAUGUGUGCAAAUUUGUUUCCCAGAAGAAAAAAAAAAGAAACUCACAGAAACAUGGCUCCGCACCCCUUACCCCUUAAAAAAUGGGCAUCGAAAUAAUGUUUGUACCCUUUUGCAGCUUUCGGAACUCAAAGGUCUUGGCGGGAAGAAUGUGACCAUCGCAACAAAGAAGAUACUGACCUACAUUAUGACAGACAACGUUGCACAGCAUUACAGUUGGGUUGGAAACAAGGGGAAGGAGAAGUUUUGCAAUGUCAAUGUGAGGCCACUUAUAGUUGUGUGAAGCGGGCUCAAGAGCCAACAUGGUUGGAACAUGAUAUGAACAUCUUUCGAUGCAGCUAGGUCAAACAAGUCAUUUGUUGCAACAGUUGACGAAACCGAGGCCGUUAUAAAAAAGUGGCUGCAGCAUGCUCGCGACCGUGUCAAGCUUCAAGAAGAAAGGGUUGCAAAAAAGGCUGUGGUAUCCGAGGCAUAAUGGCACAAAGGUCGCUCACUAUAUGGCCGGCACUGCACUUGCAUAUUCAUAGUUCCUGAGAUUGGGAACAGAGCUCAAUUCUUCAAAUACUCUUGUAUAACCAUAUCAUUGAACAUAACAUCUUCCAUCAAUAAAAAUAUUUGCAUCUUGU